rnacentral:lncRNA from 1 species
UGCAUUAGCGAGAGUCUCGGAUAUGCGCGCUACUCGCCAGAGAUUACCCCUUAUAUAGAAACGACGCUUAAAGUGGUUUUGCCUAUAUUUAUAUGUUCCGUAUAAUAGGUUAUGCAUGUACUUUUUCCCCUCUAUAAAAGGUUUUUUCUCUGGAACAUAUAGGAAACAGUUUUCUUCAUUUUUUCGUUUAUUUUUUAUCCUGAAGAUUCACACAGUUUUGGGCAAGCUGGUACGCUUCAUUUUCUUACCGUAUAGCGCACGUGUGAUGUCGCUGAAAGCUUCUUUCCAAAGUUGUAUCUCGUCAACAUAGGAGAUUCCGGAUACGACAUACGGUUGUAAUACGCUCAAAAUCAAGCGCAUUUUGCGUAUGUUAGAGGAAAGGAAGCUAAUUUUGAAUACAAAAUAACGAGGACAAUGCGAUCCGGAAUUAGCACCACCCACUCUAAUAGUACGAAUGUCGUACCCAACGCGCGUUUUCUUCAAUAGGAAUGAUUACUUUUUUGUAGGUGGUGACAUCUUCGUAACCGGCUGAAAAAACGAAAUUCUUUGUGACAUGUUGGUAUGACUGACAGGUGAGCAAGACGCCGAUAUUUUUUUUAUUGACACAUUCCACUUGUUCGAAAAAGUCAAGUAUUUGAGCCAUUUUCGAGAAUUCCACGUGAACUGAAAUACAUUUUAUUUCGAUAUGAAGAAGGAUUUACAUUUGCGAUGUAACGAGAGUAAUUUUUCGCAGCUGUUUCUAUUCGAGUGAUUAUAACGAUGUCAAAUCAUGCAGGUUCCAGCUAUUCCAUUUUAAGGUUUUAUUCUCACUCUUGAGAUUUAUCUAACGAAACGGAGGUUCUUUGUACAUCGGCUACAUUCCAAUCGCAAAUACAUCAUCGACACUCUUCGGGCAAUUACGAAUACUGAUUGCGACGAUAAUGACCCGAACGUUACUCUCGGUCUCACGUCCUCUUUAAAAGAAAACUACACGAUGAAAGAUACGCGUCUUUAUAUCCGGUUUUUAACGCUUCGCUAUAUUCAGAACGAAAUAAUAGCGGUGCUGAAAAAUGUUGAUUGAAAAUCGAAGGCUCCGAAUUUCGUCGUGUGCUCCUUUGCGAAAGUCUCGUGACGUAUUCAAAUGGCAGUUGAGAAAAAAAAUGACUCAAUGCAUAAUUUAUUCACUAGAAUGAUAAAAAGCUCGUAUAAUUGAGCUAUUAAUAAUCAUCACGAAAAUUUCUUUUUUCCGUUUAUGUACCGUUAGACUCCUAAGGAUCGAAGCGUCUGUCAAAAUUGAAGCUUCGCCUCAGAUUUUAACACAAUGGUGAGAGUUAAGCUGUUUUCGAGUUCCAGGUAUUCGAUGCUCGCCUAAACGGGCACGCGAGCCUCCAUUGUAUGGUAAACACGACCGACCAUAACAAUAACCGCAGGCAAAGUCUUCGAGUUGUACAACCGUGGAGAGGCUCCGAUACACAAGGUGUCUCGAGCGUUCGAAGGUGAUUGGUAUGCGCCAUCUGCAUCGCUGUACACCGACAAAGGACCAUUUAAACCUUCGCAUUAAAAGCCUCACGUUUCUUUGAUCGAAUAAUUUGGGGUUUUCCCAAAAGAUACCCUUCGAUUGUGACUCAUUUAAAUGAAUAUUCGAUUUGUUGCGGUGAAGUAAUUCAAGUGCAAGUUUCUCUGGGACUAUUGAUUUUCCGUUGCUUCUUCUUUCAACAAUGAAAGAAAUUUUACAGUGGCAAAAAGUUACGACACGAAUAUAUUCAUCGUUAAUCCAUUGUUUAUUUCAACGCAUUAAAAUAUUCGAAUAAACCCAGCUAACCGAGUCUCUUGAACUCGUCCUCGCGUUCACCGUCGAGGCAAUUGAUUUGAGUUCCUUUUAAACCAA